UACGUAGGGUGCGAGCGUUGUCCGGAAUUACUUGGGCGUAAAGAGCUCGUAGGUGGUUUGUCGCGUUGUUCGUGAAAACUCACAGCUCAACUGUGGGCGUGCGGGGCGAUACGGGCAGACUGGAGUACUGCAGGGGAGACUGGAAUUCCUGGUGUAGCGGUGGAAUGCGCAGAUAUCAGGAGGAACACCGGUGGCGAAGGCGGGUCUCUGGGCAGUAACUGACGCUGAGGAGCGAAAGCGUGGGGAGCGAACAGG
rnacentral:rRNA from 1 species